rnacentral:lncRNA from 1 species
CCACAACAAGACACCAGAAGGGUGCAGGAAGUUCAGGAACUAAUGGCCAAGUCAGUCUGAGGCCGCGCAGCUGAGAUAAGGCCUAGGUCUGGUCCAGAGUCUCCGAGUGCCGCUUGGUUCUUCCAUCAGGAUCCAGUCCAGGUUCCGCAACAGAUCAAUGGAUGAAUAGCAAUCUGGAUAGAUGGGUUGCCUUCUUAAAAGAUCCUCCUGCAAGGUUUAUAUCUGCAGAACUGAGAGAAAUUGCUGUAAUAUAGAACAUCAUCAAUGCAUUUUUCAAAUGGUAAAUGAUUCUUCAUAUAAUAAAAAG